GUCUCGGACUCCAGCGCUGCAAGCGGCCGGCCCGCAAACUGCUCGCAGCGCGGCGCAUAAGAACAGCGGCCGUCGCGAACUAUUCCAGUGCAGCGUCAGACGCGUUGCUGAAGUUAAGAGCUUAGCAGUUCGCUUGUGAUUUCGUAGUUCAUUCGGCUUUGACAUAUAUAUACUUACACCUAGCGCUUCAGCGACUUUAAUGUAUGUUUAACGUGGCGCUGCUUGAAACAGUAUUUGAAGAAUUUCCUGACAAAAUGUACGACGCACGAAGAAGCCUGAGCGGGGCACGCGCCCGCAGCUGCCUGGUGCUGUCCGCGCUUCUGGGGUGUCUGGUGACGUCAGCGGCGUCCAGCGCCACCGAGUGCCGCCGGCUGCCGUACGAGGACACGGCGCCGCGCACGCGCCUCACCAACGACCGCUUCAGCAUCUCCGUCAGCGGGAACCCCAACGGCUACGUGCCUGGGGAGGCGUACACAGUGGUGCUGCAGAGCUCGCCGCAGAUGCACCGGUUCACGGGCUUCGUGCUGACGGUGGAGCUGGCGGACGAGGAGCCGCCGGCGGACGACGACGAGGAAGAGGAGCAGGCGCCGCGCGGCCGGCUGCACUCGCUGGGGCCGCUGGGCGCGGGCACCUUCUCGCUGUACGGCGACACGCUGACGCGCUUCAGCGACCGCUGCCCCAACACCGUCACGCACACCUCCAGCUACCGCAAGGACAAGGUGCAGGUGUACUGGAAGGCGCCGCCCUCCGGCAGCGGCUGCGUCGUCUUCAGGGCCACAGUAAUAGAACGUCCAAAGGUCUGGUACAUGGAUGACGGGCCAUUGAGCCACGUUCUUUGCGAAGAGGUUCCGGACACCUUCGAGGAUCAGCUGCCAGUUCAAACAGAGUGCUGUCCUUGCGACGAAGCGAAGUACGAGCUCGCCUUUGAAGGACUGUGGUCUCGGCACACGCACCCGAAAGGCUUCCCGGACGACAGCUUCCUAGCAAAGUUCAGCGACGUGGUCGGAGCCUCCCACACGCCGGACUACUACUUCUGGUCGUACGGAGCCAGGGCGACAAGGGGCCUGAGGCAGCUGGCCGAGCGAGGCUUCACCCGGGAGCUGGAGCACGAACUCAAGACCCACAGUCACGAAAUACGCACUAUUAUAAAAGCGCGUGGCCUAAGCUUCCCUGAAGUGACAGGGAAGACGUUUUCAGGCUUCCGUGUCGACAGGAGACAUCACCUGGUGUCCAUUGUAUCAAAAAUAAAUCCAUCACCUGAUUGGAUUGUUGGUAUAGCUGGAUUGGAGCUCUGCAGAAACUGCAGCUGGGUAGAGAACUUGGAAUUAAAUUUGUAUCCAUGGGACAUAGGAACAGAUAGCGGAGUCACAUACACAUCGCCUAACAUGCCAACCGUUCCGCAAGACGUGAUCCGACGCAUCACGUCCAGCUUCCCUAACGACGAGGAGGCACCGUUUUAUGACGAAUCUGGAACUCCGAUGAAGCCUCUGGCCCGUCUUUACCUCACAAGGCAGCGAUUAUACAGAAGACACUGUUCACCUCAAGAAUCAAGAAGUAUGGGAGGAUAUCAAAUUGAUGGAUGCGCAACGACGGAAUGGUCUGAGUGGAGUCCCUGUUCAGUAACCUGUGGCGAGGGAGUCACACAACGUUGCAGAAAAUACGUCGACCCACAGACGGCAAAAGAGAAUGGGUGCAGGAGGAAAUUAACGGCAAAGAGAGCCUGCACUGCCACUAUUCCAAGCUGCAGGGCUAUACCAGACGAAUGGGACUGCAAAGUAACCGAAUGGUCUCAGUGGACGGAGUACAUCAGUAAAUGCCGCCAGGGAGCUCAAGGAAGGGAUGUGCCAUUCAGACAGCAGCAAAAUGCGGAGUGUAAUGUAAAUAACGUAAUGAAUAUUGAGCAAACCGAAGUCUGCUACGGUGCGCAAAGUAAAGACUGCAGUCAGUCCGCUGAAGAGGAACAAGAAUUUCGGAAAGAUUUCUGUCUGCUUCCAAGAAGUUCAGGUCACUGUCGCGGGGCUUUCUACCACUGGUUUUUUGAUGAAACAGAGUGUAAGGAGUUCAGGUAUGGCGGCUGUGGCGGAAAUCAGAACAACUUUCCAACCAGGGAAGAAUGCGAAGAAAAAUGUAUGAACAGAACAAGUCAACACAACGGUGAUGAUAUGGAGGAAUCACUUCAAGGUACUGAUGACGAAAACAGUGUGAACGAUCUUGCAACGCCGUUUCCAGGCGACACUGAUAACAAUGACAACAUGUCAGCAGAGAGAGAAUCACGUGAACGUGUGAACUGUUUAAGCAGCGAGUGGACAGAAUGGUGGCCCUGCAGUGUAACAUGUGGCAGAGGAGUUAGAGUGAGAGAGAGAUAUGUGUCGGUACUCCCACGUUGCAGAGGAAGGGGGUGUCCUAGAAGACGUAGUGGCACAGAGAGAUGUAGACGAAGGAACUGUGGAGGCGACUGCCAGCUGUCAGAGUGGAGCGAGUGGUCGCUGUGCUCGGCCAGCUGCGGCGACGCCUACCGACAGCGCACCAGAAGCAUCAUCCGGCCGGCACGGCGCCGCGGUAGGCCGUGCGGCCCGCGCCUUGAGAAGGAGGCGUGUCAGCUGCCCGCCUGCCAUUAAGGCGCGGUGAACUUCACGUAGCGGCAGCAAACUCUCCAGUAGUGCACGGGGGAAACAGCUGCGGCGUGUGUACAAUAGUCUCAUAGUUUCCAAAACGUCAAUUUCAUUCUUAUCGCUCAUCUUUGUAAGGUGUACAACGGUUACACAGUUAACAAACAAAACGACACACAACACAGUACAGUACAGGUACUGGGAACUACAGCAGCGUAUGAACUCCCCAGUUGAUCAGUAGCAGCCGGCAGCAGUCGCGGUAUUUCGUGCCAUACUGACAACAGAUGUUCGUGCUACAGGUCAGCCAGCUAAUCGUCGGUGUUGAUUGCAUUGUUGUCUGCUUUAUCACUGAGCUGUACUCUACCUAUCUAUCUUUUGCAAUGAUGUUUUCAUUUGGAAACUCGAACUAUCGAGACGCGAACUAUCGAGACUCUACUGUAUAGGUGAAUGGUUCCCUUUCCCUUAUUUUACAUAUUGCCCCAUCCAGAAAUUUCUCCUACUGUCAUUCAUUAGAUAAGAUUUGCCAGUGCGAAUUUACUUUAAGUCAAAUCCAAAAUGUGUGAAGUUGGUAAAAGACAAAAGACAGAAAAUAAGUUCCAAGCAGAGCAGAUCAACUACUUUGCAAUUCGUGACGUACACAAAUCAGAUAAAAUAAUUCAAAGCUCACCUAUAUGUAUUAAUGUGAUUAUUCAUGCAACUCUGAAUUAUGUUAAUAUAUACUCAAAUGCUUUUAUACAUGUCACAGCAACAAUUCAUGAACUUAUAAAUAAUCGGUAAGAAAGGCAACCUCCAAUUUCAUUCAGCACACAGUUGCUAGAAAAGAUACAUAUUUCUUCCAACUAAACACAUAGUGUUAGAUACUGCAGUAUGCUAGAUUUAUGGUUUAGUAAAACAUCUGGAUCGCACAUACAAAUGUCUU